rnacentral:rRNA from 1 species
AGAGUUUGAUCCUGGCUCAGAAUCAACGCUGGCGGCGCGCCUAACACAUGCAAGUCGAACGAGAAAGCCGGGGCAACCUGGUGAGUAAAGUGGCGUACGGGUGAGUAACACGUGGAUGAUCUACCUCCUUGUGGGGAAUAACCCUGGGAAACCGGGGCUAAUACCGCAUAAGUCCGAGAGGAGAAAGCAGCAAUGCGCUGGGAGAGGAGUCCGCGGCCGAUUAGCUAGUUGGCAGGGUAAAAGCCUACCAAGGCAAAGAUCGGUAGCCGGCCUGAGAGGGCACACGGCCACACUGGCACUGAAACACGGGCCAGACUCCUACGGGAGGCAGCAGUGGGGAAUCUUGCACAAUGGGGGAAACCCUGAUGCAGCGACGCCGCGUGAGCGAUGAAGCCCUUCGGGGUGUAAAGCUCUUUCGGCAGGGAAGAUGAUGACGGUACCUGCAGAAGCAGCUGCGGCUAACUACGUGCCAGCAGCCGCGGUAAUACGUAGGCAGCAAGCGUUGUUCGGAGUUACUGGGCGUAAAGGGUGUGUAGGCGGUUGCUUAAGUUUGGUGUGAAAUCUCCCGGCUCAACUGGGAGGGUGCGCCGAAUACUGAGUGACUCGAGUGCGGGAGAGGAAAGUGGAAUUCCUGGUGUAGCGGUGAAAUGCGUAGAUAUCAGGAGGAACACCGGUGGUGUAGACGGCUUUCUGGACCGUAACUGACGCUGAGACACGAAAGCGUGGGUAGCAAACAGGAUUAGAUACCCUGGUAGUCCACGCCCUAAACGAUGCACAUUUGGUGUGGGUCAUUCAGUUGAUCCGUGCCGGAGCUAACGCGUUAAAUGUGCCGCCUGGGGAGUACAGUCGCAAGGCUGAAACUCAAAGGAAUUGACGGGGGCCCGCACAAGCGGUGGAGCACGUGGUUCAAUUCGACGCAACGCGAAGAACCUUACCUGGCUCGAACGGCUGGCUAACGGCGGUGGAAACAUCGCUACCCCGCAAGGGGGUCCAGUCGAGGUGCUGCAUGGCUG